UAAGGGAUAGUUAAGGGUAUAAUGUCAAAAAGUAGAUUUUUAUCAUAAGUCAUGUGAUUGGAAGCCCCUGAAUCAAUGAUCCAGGUAGCAGAGCUUAUGUUUGCAAGCAUGCACAACUUGGAAUCAGAAACAAGACUCUCAUACAUCAAAGUACCAGCAAAAUUAGAAGAACUCAUGGGAGAAGGAGCUUGAUCACUAGUAGAAAGAGUCUGUUGAAUUAAGCUCACAAU
rnacentral:lncRNA from 1 species